UACGAAGGUCCCAAGCGUUGUUCGGAAUCACUGGGCGUAAAGGGAGCGUAGGCGGCGUGGUAAGUCAGAUGUGAAAUCCCGGGGCUCAACCCCGGAACUGCAUCCGAUACUGCCAUGCUUGAGGGUUGGAGAGGUAGCUGGAAUUAUCGGUGUAGCAGUGAAAUGCGUGGAUAUCGAUAGGAACACUCGUAGCGAAGGCGAGCUACUGGACAACAUCUGACGCUGAGGCUCGAAGGCUAGGGGAGCAAAAGGG
rnacentral:rRNA from 1 species